GACGUAGGAGACGAGCGUUGUCCGGAGUUACUGGGCGUAAAGGGCGCGCAGGCGGCGCCGUGCGUCGUCGGUGAAAGCCCCCGGCUUAACCGGGGUGUUGUCCGGCGAAACGGCGGCGCUGGAGGGUGGUAGAGGCCGGUGGAAUUCCCGGUGUAGUGGUGAAAUGCGUAGAGAUCGGGAGGAACACCCGUGGCGAAGGCGGCCGGCUGGGCCAACCCUGACGCUGAGGCGCGAAGGCCAGGGGAGCGAACGGG
rnacentral:rRNA from 1 species